UCCUAGCCCUGAUGGGAGCGGCAUCCUUUUAUGGCGGGGUUCGCCAGAAAAGAUACAGCGGACAGCAGGAACCAGC
rnacentral:sRNA from 1 species